AUUGAACGCUGGCGGCAGGCCUAACACAUGCAAGUCGAACGAGUGGCGGACGGGUGAGUAGUGUCUGGGAAACUGCCUGAUGGAGGGGGAUAACUCCUGGAAACGGUAGCUAAUACCGCAUACCAUCAGAUGUGCCCAGAUGGGAUUAGCUAGUUGGUGGGGUAACGGCUCACCAAGGGGACGUUCCCUAGCUGGUCUGCGAGGAUGACCAGCCACAAUGAAACUGAGACACGGUCCAGACUCAUACGGGAGGCAGCAGUGGUGAAUAUUGCACAAUGGGCGCAAGCCUGAUGGAGACAUUCCGCGUGUAUGAAGAAGGCCUUCGGGUUGUAAAGUACUUUCAGCGGGGAGGCGUUACCCGCAGAAGAAGCACCGGCCAACUCCGUGCCAGCAGCCGCGGUAAUAC
rnacentral:rRNA from 1 species